rnacentral:lncRNA from 1 species
CAUUAACUUGCUAUUUGACACGGUGAAUCUUCAAGUGUGAGGGGAUACUGCAUAUUCAGAACACCAGAUUUUUCAAGCACAUGUGAUAGUGGGACUCUCUUCUCCAUGAUCACUCAUCAGAAAACUUUGGGAAGGGUUGCUUUUAAAUCAGCCUGACUUUAGAUGUGGAAUAAAAUGUCCGCAGGUCAUUGGUUUGGUUAUUACUAAAAAAUGAACUGUUUCGGUUUUCCCUGAAACUUGGCUGAUUCCUGGAAGAACGUGUGUCCCACUCAACUCAAAAAAUAAUUAUUGAACACUUGUUCUGUGAAUGUCUAAUGCUGGGAGCUCUCUUGGCCAAGAAGACUACAGUGAAGUCCUUGCUCCUGAGGAGUAGGAAGAGAAGAAAAUAGUUGACAUUGAGCCCCUGUUCUGUUCCAGACCUGCUGCAAUGCUGACACACAGCACCCCUAAAUGGUAGAAAUAAUUAUUCCUGAUGAGAAGACAAUGGAUGCUCAAGGUCACACAGCAGGGCCAUGGAAUGUAAAGGAAAUGGCUGAGCAGCAGCUGCAAACAAUUACUAAGCAUUUUCAAUGGUCUUGUGAAAUGCUAUGAAUUCAGAGCAUCACUUCAGAAACCCCGAUUGCAUCCCUCAGAAAAAGUGCCCAGCCACCGGGCCAAACCCUCUUAUGCCUCUCCUUGGCAAGGUUUGAGGAUCCAGCUUUUAUGUAGGCCCUGUCUUCUGACACCCUAAAAUAAAUAGUCCUCUUUUUCUUCUUCUGGACCCCUCUCUCUCCUUAACUCACUUUAAUUUUAUCUUCCAGAAUGUGUUUCUUACGAUUCCUUUAGUUUUAGCACAUCACAGUUCAUAAAUGCCCAAAACUGGCUGCUGGAGAACCACAACCCCUUUCUGCACAUGCAUGAGGAAAUUUUCCUUUAGGCCCUGAAAGCAAAGUCCUGUCCAACUCAAGCAAGCUAAUUGUGAGAUGCUGCCCGUAUGAACUUUCCUAUUAUUGCACUAGAGAUUCCUGAGUUUUAGUCAACUUGAAAAGAGAUUUUUUUUUUUUCUGAAGGAAUGUAACUCCUUAGACUAACAUAUGAAAUCCAAAACAUAAAAUGCAACUGAAAUAUACAUAGUAAACUAUGGUUGCCACAGUCACCUUUAACUUGUGUUCUGAGAGAAAAGGGUUCCUGGGUAACUGUGAGUGGAAGGAGUUGGAGACCUGAAAGAAAUAUCAGUGAUGUAACCAAAGAGUGGCUGGAAACGGAUGGCAUCCUGGCCUGGUCAAAAACACCACACUAGGCUAUUGAUUACACAGUGGCCUCAAGUCACAACCUAGGGACCAGGGAAGGUCAGCAAUUAUGGACCUGUGUAGCCAUUUGUUAACAAUUUACUUUUCUGUCAUUGCCACAGUGAAAGAAUAACUCUGCACUGUUAUUAUUCAACAAAACUAAGCCAGAAUAUCAUGAGCAGAGAACUGGUAACAGCAUUAGAAAAGACAUCUCAAUUUUUCUUCUUCUAUAUACAUAUAUAGAAGACAUACAUGUAUAUAAACAUACAUACAUAUCUAUCUAUCUAUCUAUCUAUCUAUCUAUCUAUCUAUCUAUCUAUCUGAAAGGAAGAAAUUGUUGGAUAAAAUACAAACGCUCCUCUGACUGCCACAAAGUCAGGUGUCCUAUGUGUAGGAGUCUUGUGAAUUUCCUUUUCUCUGUAACUCCAAAACAAAAUAAACUGUUCUGAUGGUCUGUCUGCAAGUAUAGAAAAUAUUCAUUAUUAUGUCAUAAUUAAGCUUGAGCAAAUGGUGCUUGAUUGUGAAGUGUAAAAGUCAAACUUCGGGAUGCAACUGAG